rnacentral:rRNA from 1 species
AUUGAACGCUGGCGGUAUGCCUUACACAUGCAAGUCGAACGGUAGAGGGGCAACCCUCGAGAGUGGCGAACGGGUGAGUAAUACAUCGGAACGUGCCCAGUCGUGGGGGAUAACGUAGCGAAAGCUACGCUAAUACCGCAUACGACCUGAGGGUGAAAGCGGGGGAUCUUCGGACCUCGCGCGAUUGGAGCGGCCGAUGGCAGAUUAGGUAGUUGGUAGGGUAAAGGCCCACCAAGCCUGCGAUCUGUAGCUGGUCUGAGAGGACGACCAGCCACACUGGGACUGAGACACGGCCCAGACUCCUACGGGAGGCAGCAGUGGGGAAUUUUGGACAAUGGGCGAAAGCCUGAUCCAGCCAUACCGCGUGCGGGAAGAAGGCCUUCGGGUUGUAAACCGCUUUUGUCAGGGAAGAAAUCUUCUGGGUUAAUACCUCGGGAGGAUGACGGUACCUGAAGAAUAAGCACCGGCUAACUACGUGCCAGCCGCCGCCGUAAGAC